GUAGGUGGCAAGCGUUGUCCGGGAAUUAUUGGGGCGUAAAGCGCGCGCAGGCGGUUCUUUAAGUCUGAUGUGAAAGCCCACAGCUCAACCGUGGAGGGUCAUUGGAAACUGGAGAACUUGAGUACAGAAGAGGAAAGCGGAAUUCCACGUGUAGCGGUGAAAUGCGUAGAGAUGUGGAGGAACACCAGUGGCGAAGGCGGCUUUCUGGUCUGUAACUGACGCUGAGGCGCGAAAGCGUGGGGAGCAAACAGGAUUAGAUACCCUGGUAGUCCACGCCGUAAACGAUGAGUGCUAAGUGUUAGGGGGUUUCCGCCCCUUAGUGCUGCAGCUAACGCAUUAAGCACUCCGCCUGGGGAGUACGGCCGCAAAGGCUGA
rnacentral:rRNA from 1 species